GCUCCCUCCCGUCCGCCCGACCUCCACGACUCCUACCGGACGGGCGGAGGCGAGUGGGGAAGGUACGUUGGUCGACAACUAGGGGGCGGAACCCGUACCGGACUGCAGCGACGCCGCCGUCGGAGGCGGAGUGAAGACCCGUUCCGGGGUUCGGUUAAAGGACGUCUUUCGGUCAGGGACGGAGUAAUGACGGUACCUGCAGAAGCAGCUGCGGCUACUACGUGCCAGCAGCCGCGGUAAUAC
rnacentral:rRNA from 1 species